GAUGAAGAACGUAGCGAAAUGCGAUAAGUAGUGUGAAUUGCAGAAUUCAGUGAAUCAUCGAAUCUUUGAACGCACAUUGCGCCCCAUGGUAUUCCGUGGGGCAUGCCUGUUCGAGCGUCAUUUACCCCCUCAAGCUCCGCUUGGUGUUGGGCGUCUGUCCCGCUUCGCGCGCGGACUCGCCCCAAAGGUAUUGGCAGCGGUCGUGCCAGCUUCUCGCGCAGCACAUUGCGCUUCUCGAGGCACCGGUGGGCCCGCGUCCAUCAAGCUCAACCCCCCCAGUUUGACCUCGGAUCAGGUAGGGAUACCCGCUGAACUUAAGCAUAUCAAUAAGCGGAGGA
rnacentral:misc_RNA from 1 species